rnacentral:sRNA from 1 species
UUCGAUCUUCUCACCUAACAGUAAUAUACAUCCUAUAAUUUUCUUAAGCAACCCACCUUCUUUAUUUGCGACCUCUCCCCCUUUUCCUUCUUUUUCUACUUCUUUGUAUUUUCUUUAGUCUUCCACAACCUACCUCUUACUUGGUUGUCUUGGUUUUUACAUUUUUUUCUUCUUAGUAUUGAAUUUAAGAGAAUUUUUUCAGUUUUGUGAGGAUUACACAAAUUGCAUAUGUCAACAUGUUAUGAAUUAAACUUUUUACACACACUCGUAUAUAUAUAUAUAUAUAUAUAUAUAUAUAUAUAUAUAUAUAUAUACACAUAUUUGUGAAAAGCCCCUUCUCAUUCAGAAUUCUGGCUCCGCCACUGCAGCCACAGCCUGAUGGAAUAAAGUCCGGGGUGUAGGGGAGUCCUUGCAACAGCGAUUGCUCCCCCAGAGUCCGGGUAUGAUUUUACAGUAAAUUCUUUGCCCCUAAACACGGUGUGAAUGAGGAUCCUGUUUGUGGGAGCGCACAUUGUGUCGUAGCAUCAUACUGGUGCAAAAAACUUGGAAAAUCUGAUGUUGUUGGAUACGUGGCAUCACAUGGAGGAGGAAGAGUACGCAUUCAUCUAGACGAGCAGAAUCAAAGGGUGCUGCGUCGAGGGAAAGCGGUUACUGUGUGAUGGAAAGAACUGUUUUAGUUUCAAAUUCAAUCUAUUGUGUUUGGUUAUCCUGCAGUUUUCUUCAAAAAAAUCUGUAUUCUGAUUUGUUAGUUCUCCAUUUGGCAUGAAAUGGUGCAACUUUGGACUUGUUUCCAAAAUGAACAUAAUCAAGCAAGCUGUAUGUGAAACUUGCUAGUUCAAGGUGUAGUUUUCGUUCAAUUAUUUAGUGUGCAUGAAACACGGUCACAUAAUGUUAUUAUUCCACUCAAAUUAUAACACGUGAAUUUGUUUAUUUAUUUAUUAAGACAUAUCGAUCAUUUCGUGCACCUGAUUAUAAAACAUUGAAUGGCACACCAUGUAGCAUGUGCAACAGCAUAUCAACCGUGUCGCAUCAUACUGAAAU